GGAAAGAUGUCCGAGUGGUUUAAAGUACGGAUCUGGAACGUCCGUGUAGUUAAGAACUACCGAGGGUUCGAAUCCCUCUCUUUCCG
rnacentral:tRNA from 1 species